rnacentral:tRNA from 1 species
UAUGUAGCUCAGUUGGUAGAGCAACGGACUUUUAAUCUGUAGGUCCUAGGUUCAAGCCCUAGUAUA